GACGAACGCUGGCGGCGUGCCUAAUACAUGCAAGACGAACGCUUCUUUCCUCCCGAGUGCUUGCACUCAAUUGGAAAGAGGAGUGGCGGACGGGUGAGUAACACGUGGGUAACCUACCCAUCAGAGGGGGAUAACACUUGGAAACAGGUGCUAAUACCGCAUAACAGUUUAUGCCGCAUGGCAUAAGAGUGAAAGGCGCUUUCGGGUGUCGCUGAUGGAUGGACCCGCGGUGCAUUAGCUAGUUGGUGAGGUAACGGCUCACCAAGGCCACGAUGCAUAGCCGACCUGAGAGGGUGAUCGGCCACACUGGGACUGAGACACGGCCCAGACUCCUACGGGAGGCAGCAGUAGGGAAUCUUCGGCAAUGGACGAAAGUCUGACCGAGCAACGCCGCGUGAGUGAAGAAGGUUUUCGGAUCGUAAAACUCUGUUGUUAGAGAAGAACAAGGACGUUAGUAACUGAACGUCCCCUGACGGUAUCUAACCAGAAAGCCACGGCUAACUACGUG
rnacentral:rRNA from 1 species